rnacentral:rRNA from 1 species
GACGAACCGUGCGAACGUUGGUCGGAUUCACUGGGCUUAAAGGGCGCGUAGGCGGGCUCGCAAGUCUGUGGUGAAAGCCCCCAGCUCAACUGGGGAAGUGCCGUGGAUACUGCAAGUCUGGAGGAGGGUAGGGGCAUCUGGAACGCUGGGUGGAGCGGUGAAAUGCAUUGAUAUCCAGCGGAACUCCGGUGGCGAAGGCGAGGUGCUGGACCCUUUCUGACGCUGAGUGCGCGAAAGCCAGGGGAGCAAACGGG